rnacentral:lncRNA from 1 species
UAAAUCAACCAAAUUGGAAUUACAAGAGGUUAAACAACUCGACGACUCUUGUCCGGAGCUUUCGCCUCAGAAUCCGGACGAAACUAGCAACUCAAACCUCAACGGCAACCUUGAUCUGAGUUAGAUCUAGUCUGAAACUUAUCCUCAAUGUUUAAUCCAUCUCUGUUUUGUAAUUUAUUGAUAGCUUUUGGCAAAGAAAUUGAUAGAGGACGGUGAUGGUAGGACUUUGUGAUUGAAUCUGCUUCUAUAGCUUAUGAAUAUUCCUGGGUAGCUCUCAAACGGGUCACUUCACAUUCUAAAGGUGAUGGACAUGAGCCAUGACUAAAAGGCCACGCAGGUUUCAGAAUGAAAUUGAAGCUCUCUUCGCUAAAGUCGGGGGGGAGGGGGGGGAGUGAUUUUGUGAAGGGAGGCUGCUCUUCUUUUUGGG